rnacentral:lncRNA from 1 species
UUAUGCUUAUGUUAUUAUGCGCGUAGGUACUUUCCUUGUGAACUCUGUGCCUGCCUUAGUGUUAUUUGACUCGGGUGCGAGUAGGUCCUUUGUGUCCUUAGCCUUUAGUCAGCAUAUCGGCGUUAGUCGUGAGUCGUUGAGUCGACCUUUGAGAGUUUCUAUAGCUGACGAGAAAGUGAUUUGUGCCACGGAGGUUCUUCGGGGAUGUGUACUAGAGAUUUUCGGGGUUGAAUUCCCGAUUGACCUGAUUCCUAUUGCGAUGGGUGAUGUCUGUGUCAUCGUGGGCAUGGACUGGUUGAGCCGAUUCGGCGCUGUCAUCGACUGUGAGCGUCAGUUGGUGACUAUACGAGACCAUAGUGGGGGAGUUCUUUCGGUGUACGGCGAGGGUACCCGUUCGGGAUCAGCUUUUUGUUCGGCCGCUAGGGCGAGGCAGUGUCUACAGCAGGGCUGUAAGGGUUUUGUGGCGUAUGUGAUGGAUACGCGGGAGGUUUCCGAGAGACCGAAGUCAGUUGAGGAGGUCCCUGUGGUGCGUGAGUUUCCAGAUGUUUUCCCCGAGGAGCUGCCGGGAGUACCUCCUGUGAGGCAAGUAGAGUUUGGUAUCGAUCUGGUUCCGGGGGCCGCGCCUAUUGCUAAGGUGCCUUAUCGUCUUGCACCUCCAGAGAUGCAAGAGUUGUCCUCGCAACUCCAGGAGUUGCUGGGGAAGGGAUUCAUUCGGCCGAGCAGCUCGCCAUGGGGAGCACCUAUUCUGUUCGUCAAAAAGAAGGAUGGUUCACACCGGAUGUGCAUUGAUUACCGGGAGUUGAACAAGCUAACGGUCAAGAACCGUUACCCGUUGCCGAGGAUCGAUGAUUUAUUCGAUCAGUUGCAGGGAGCAUCUUGGUUUUCCAAGAUCGAUCUGAGGUCAGGAUACCAUCAGGUGAGAGUACGGGAUGAAGACGUCCAGAAGACAGCGUUUAGGACGCGAUAUGGACAUUAUGAGUUUGUGGUGAUGCCUUUUGGACUCACCAAUGCCCCGGCUGUGUUCAUGGAUCUCAUGAACAGGGUAUGCAGGCCGAUGUUGGAUCGGUCAGUGAUUGUAUUUAUCGACGACAUUCUGGUGUAUUCGAGAUCUAGAGAGCAGCAUGAGGAGCAUUUGAGGGAGGUCCUUGAGGUAUUGAGGUCGGAGAAGCUUUAUGCAAAGUUCUCCAAAUGUGACUUCUGGUUGCGGGAGGUCCAGUUUCUAGGACAUGUGGUUAAUCAGAAAGGGAUAUUGGUCGAUCCGGCCAAGGUUGAGGCGGUGAUGAGUUGGGAGGUGCCGAAGUCACCCUCUGAGAUCAGAAGUUUCCUUGGGUUGGCAGGGUAUUAUCGGAGAUUUAUCAAGGAUUUCUCCAAGAUCGCAGUGCCACUCACCAGAUUGACCCGGAAGGGUGUUACGUUCUCAUGGGGGCCCGAGCAGCAGACCUCCUUUGAGACACUUCGCCAGAGAUUGUGCGAAGCCCCGGUAUUAGCUCUCCCAGAAGGGAUGGAAGAUUUCGUGGUAUAUUGCGACGCAUCGAUUUCGGGAUUGGGUGCAGUGUUGAUGCAGAGGGGUCAUGUGAUAGCUUAUGCGUCGAGGCAGCUGAAGCCUCAUGAGGCGAGAUAUCCCACGCAUGAUUUAGAGUUGGGGGCAGUAGUGUUCGCUCUCAAGAUUUGGCGUCACUACUUGUAUGGGGUUCGAUGUACGAUAUACACGGACCAUAAGAGUUUGAAGUAUUUGAUGGAUCAACCCAACCUAAAUAUGCGUCAGAGGAGGUGGUUGGAUGUGGUCAAGGAUUAUGAUUGUGAGAUCCUGUACCACCCAGGCAAGGCUAAUGUGGUAGCCGAUGCAUUGAGCCGCAGGGCGGAGAGCACUCCAUUGCGAGAUGUAUGCUUGAGACUGACUGUGAUGACUCCAGUAUUGGACGCUAUUCGUGGGGCCCAGGCAGAGGCUGUGCGACCAGAAAUGCAGAAGAAAGAGCGGGUUGUGGGGUUAAUCUCAGAGUUUGUCAAGGAUAGUCGAGGCCUUAUGACGUUUCAGGGUCGGAUUUGGGUACCGUUCGUGGGCGGUACGCGUAUUACGUUGAUGGAAGAGGCUCAUAGAUCGAAAUUCUCGAUCCAUCCCGGUGCUACAAAGAUGUAUUUGGAUUUAAGGAAGGAAUAUUGGUGGCCCUGUAUGAAGAGGGACGUGGCAUGGUUCGUUGAGAGGUGCUUGACCUGCCGUAGGGUUAAGGCUGAGCACCAGAGACCGCAUGGCAAGUUACAGCCAUUGGAGAUCCCCGAGUGGAAGUGGGAACAGAUCACUAUGGAUUUUAUCACCAAAUUGCCGAGGACUGCUAGGGGAGUUGACGCAAUUUGGGUGAUCGUGGAUAGGUUGACAAAGAGUGCACACUUCCUUGCCAUCAGUGAGAGUUCUUCGGCGGAGAAAUUGGCGGAGAUAUACGUGAGAGAGGUGGUAUCUCGGCACGGGGUGCCGAUCUCGAUUGUGUCAGACCGUGAUGUGCGCUUUACUUCCAGAUUCUGGAAGAAAUUCCAUGAGGAGCUGGGUACUAAAUUGCAUUUUAGUACCGCAUACCAUCCCCAGACAGACGGUCAGAGCGAGCGGACAAUUCAGACGCUGGAGGACAUGCUCCGAGCGUGUGUGUUAGACUUCGGGGGUAGUUGGGAUGCGUAUUUACCAUUGGCAGAGUUUUCCUACAACAACAGCCAUCAUUCGAGCAUUGGUAUGCCACCUUUCGAGCUGUUGUAUGGUAGGAGGUGUCGGACCCCCAUUUGCUGGGGAGAGGUGGGACAGAGAGUGAUGGGCAGCACGGAGAUCGUGCUCCAGACGACAGAGCAGAUUCAGCGAGUGAGACAAAGGUUAUUGACUGCCCAGAGCCGACAGAAGAGUUAUGCAGACAGGCGCCGAUCCGAGCUUGAAUUUCAGGUCGGCGACUUCGUUCUCCUGAAGGUCUCUCCUUGGAAAGGAGUGAUUCGAUUCAGGAAGAGGGGCAAGUUGGGGCCCCGGUAUAUUGGGCCAUUUCGUGUGAUUGCAAGGAUAGGUCGGGUAGCCUAUCGGUUGGAGUUGCCAGCGGAGUUGGGUCAGAUCCAUGACACUUUUCAUGUGUCGCAGUUGAGGAAGUGCAUAGCCGAUGAGUCGGCAGUGGUUCCAUUGGAGGAUAUUCAGGUGGAUGCGAGCCUGAAUUACGCGGAGAGACCAGUGGCUAUCAGGGAUCGGAAGAUCAAGGUUCUGAGGAACAAGGAGGUACCUCUGGUGUUGGUUCAAUGGCAACACCGUAAGGGAUCAGAAAUGACUUGGGAACCGGAGCGCGAAAUGCGGGAGCAGCAUCCGGAACUAUUUGCAGAGUGAGACUUCGAGGGCGAAGUCUAAUCCAAGUGGGGGAGAGUUGUAACAGCCCGGAAUCUCAGGUAUUAUUAAAAUUAUGUUUUUGGGGUGAUUUAAGAGGGGACUCGGCGAGUUGGAGCCUAGACUCGCCGAGUAGGAUCGCAGACUUGGUCGCGGGUCCGCGACUGGACUCGACGAGUCCAGAUAUGGACUCGGCGAGUCGACGCUGUUCAGCAGAAACCCUAACCGUUCAGUUUGGAUCGUAUUUAACGCCUCUUAGGCCGUCAUUUUCAGUCUUUUGGUCAAUUGAGAGAAACCCUAAUCGCUGUGGACGCCUAGAGCAAGGGAGAAAGCUUUGGAACUUGGAAGAAUUGGUUAGGCAAGAAGAAGAGGGAUUUGGCUAAAGGAAUAUCAAGGAGGAUUGAGUCCUGAGAUUUGGGGGACACAGAGAGUGCGUUUUCAGGUAAUACUCGGACCAAAUCUGUUAUUUUGAUGUAUUUAUGAAAUUAGGGUUUAUAGAACCCAUUUAGUGAUUUGAUGAAGUAAUGCCUUGUUACCCCACGAUUAUAGUCUUGUAUUAGGACCUUUAGAGGUCCAGAAGGUCCCAUGCAUGUGUACUUCGGGACGAGACCUAUCUCAGGAAGCAGUUACUCGUCUGCAUGGCAUGGACUCGCCGAGUUGUUCUUCAGACUCGGCGAGUAGCUUGAAGAUUUACUGGGACUCGCCGAGUUGUUCAUCAGACUCGGCGAGUGGAGUCGGGGUGGCCCCGCGAUUCUUCCACGAGGACCUCGUCGAGUCAAGAGGGAUACUCGACGAGUAGAAAGGGAAUAUUCAGGAAUUUGUGAGGACGACUAGACUCGCCGAGUCGCCAUGGUACUCGCCGAGUCCAGUCGAGUUGACCGUUGACCGUUGACCAGAGUUGACCUAAGUCUGACUUCUUAGGGAUAGUCACACUUAGAUGAUAUGAGUGUUAAUGAGUUAUGUAAUGUUAUAGGAGGGUUGUAGCUCGUUGGUUUGUGCGCGAGUGAUUUCAGGAGUUGCUAGCUUUCAGCACUUACGAGGUGAGUCUUCUCACUAUACUGUACCCGGAAGGGUUUGACUGUGUGACCGGAAGGUCGGAUAUGAUAUGUGAUAUGUAUGCUAUAUGUGGUAUGUUAUAUGUUAUAUGUGCUAUGUAUGAUGGGCCGGAAGGCGAUAUGAUGUGUGAUGGACCGGAAGGUCGGCGUGGGUAAGGCCGGAAGGUUUACCCAGCAGGGACGGAAGUCCCCUGAGACACAUGGACCGGAAGGUCGGGCCGGAAGGCAAUGUUAUGUGGACCGAAUGGUCCGGGCCGGAAGGCGUAUGUGCGUAAGUUGUAUAUUGGGGAACUCACUAAGCAUUUAUGCUUACAGUUGUUGUGUAUGUAUGUAUUUCAGGUACUAGCGAGGACCGUGGGAAGGCGCCGGCAUGAUCGAUACACACUGAAGAUUGUUUUAUGAUCUUGGGAGUUUGAAUAAUUGUAUUGACCGAAUAAUUAAACUGUUUAUGCCUUGUUUUUAAUGGAAAUAAUUAUGUUUUAAAAAUGAAAAAUUUGUUUGAAAAAUUUGAGUUGUUACAAUUGGUAUCAGAGCCUUGGUUUGAGGGAUUCGGGUGCACCUUCGGGGGUAACUGAACUCAAACCGAGGAUUUGAGGAAACUUUUCAAAUAAAGGCAUAAACUUUUGUAAAUGGUUUUGUGGUAAGCAAGAAAGAAGCAGUGUGUACGAUCAGUCAGCGCCCGAACGGUAAAAGAUCCCCAAAAUACCUUACAAUAUUAUAUGAUAUGAAUUGUUAUGCAUGCUAGAAGACUAGGUAUUCAUGAUAGGACUAGAGUGGCCUGAUUUGUGAUGCCUUAGUCUAGGGAAGUUGCCUAUAUGAGAUGCUUUGCUAGUAUGCGGGUAGAUAGAGCGUAUCAGAAGUAGAGUACUCACUAUCUGGAGUUUGGGGAGGAGGACUUGGGAUGAACAUUGAUGCGGUGUGGUCGGUAGUAUUGGGCCCGUACUACCGAGGACACCGGGUCAGUGGGAGGCCCAAGUAAGAAUCCCUGGAUAUCUGGGACUGAGUAGGGUUGCGUGUCGAGUACGAUUAUACUCGGUAGAAUCUCUGAUAGUUUUAUGUUGUAUUUCAGAGAUAUCAUGGUUAGACCGCGGCACGGGGCGAGUACGAGCGGUGUGAGUGACGAGGAUAUUCGUCAGAUGAUCCACGAGGAGGUGGCGGCGGCGAUCCGGGCUGAGAUCCCGGAGAUGUUUGGGUCUAUCAAGACCACCCUGAUGGAGACGUUCGACGAGCGGUACGCCGCAUUGACUGAGGCUGCAACCGCUGCAGCUACCGCAGCUGUGGCCGCUGCUAGGCCACAGGGGGGUGAUUCAUUGCUGUUCCGAGAGUUCAGCAACACGAAGCCACCAGAGUUCGAUGGGACGCAGGAUCCGAUUGCUGCGAUGAGGUGGAUCGCAGAUAUAGAGGGGUGCUUCUACACUUGUUCAUGCCCGGAGCACCUGAGGGUACGGUUCGCUUUGAACCAGCUCCGUCUGGGAGCAAAGGACUGGUGGAAGUUCGUGACGGCGAACUUCACUUUGGCAGAGACUGCGGCAGUGACAUGGGAGGGGUUCACUACCAUGUUCAGGGAGGAGUACGUUCCCCCGGUGGAGCGGGAACGAUUGGUUCAGGAGUUCUUAACCCUCAAGCAGGGUACUGAUUCGGUGGCGGCGAUCACGCGGAAGUUCCAUGAGAGGGCGAUGUUUUGCCCCGAGCUGGUGGCCACAGAGCAGGCUCGGAUGAGCCGGUACUUGGGUGUUCUGAGGAGGGAGAUCCGGGAGUUUGUGUCAAACUCCACUUACCAUACUUUUACUGAGCUUCAGGCGAAUGCCAGGAAGCGUGAGAUCGAGUUAGAGACUCAGGCCAGGGAGGAGGCCGAGUCUCAGCAGGCAGACCGGCGGCCGGCUCAGUCUCAGCCGGCAGCCAAGCGGAUCAAGUCCGCCGAUUCGAGGACGGGAGGUUCGAAGAACCGCACUUGCGUAAAGUGCGGUAAGGGUCACGAUGGGGCGUGUCGAGCCGGUGCUUGCUACAAGUGUGGCAAGGAGGGACACAUUGCUAGGGAGUGUCCCAAGGGAUUUACGGUUUGCUUUCAUUGCAACCAGACCGGCCAUCGGAAGGCCGAGUGCCCUCAGCUUCGUCAGGGAUCUGCACCUGCUGCCAGGACUACUGAGACUCGACCGGUGAAGGUCGAGGCCCCGAGGGCUCGUGGGAGAGCCUUUCAGCUGACUGCGGAGGAGGUCCGCGCUGCGCCCGAUGUUGUGGCAGGUAUGUUGUAAUUCAUGUAAUUAUUUUAAUGUCGAUAUGUUAUGCUUAUGUUAUUAUGCGCGUAGGUACUUUCCUUGUGAACUCUGUGCCUGCCUUAGUGUUAUUUGACUCGGGUGCGAGUAGGUCCUUUGUGUCCUUAGCCUUUAGUCAGCAGAUCGGCGUUAGUCGUGAGUCGUUGAGUCGACCUUUGAGAGUUUCUAUAGCUGACGAGAAAGUGAUUUGUGCUACGGAGGUUCUUCGGGGAUGUGUACUAGAGAUUUUCGGGGUUGGAUUCCCGAUUGACCUGAUUCCUAUUGCGAUGGGGGAUGUCUGUGUUAUCGUGGGCAUGGACUGGUUGAGCCGAUUCGGCGCUGUCAUCGACUGCGAGCGUCAGUUGGUGACCAUACGAGACCAUAGUGGGGGAGUUCUUUCGGUGUACGGUGAGGGUACCCGUUCAGGAUCAGCUUUUUGUUCGGCCGCUAGGGCGAGGCAGUGUCUACAGCAGGGCUGUAAGGGUUUUGUGGCGUAUGUGAUGGAUACGCGGGAGGUUUCCGAGAGACCGAAGUCAGUUGAGGAGGUCCCUGUGGUGCGUGAGUUUUCAGAUGUUUUUCCCGAGGAACUGCCGGGAGUACCUCCUGUGAGGCAAGUAGAGUUUGGUAUCGAUCUGGUUCCGGGGGCCGCGCCUAUUGCUAAAGUGCCCUAUCGUCUUGCACCUCCAGAGAUGCAAGAGUUGUCCUCGCAACUCCAGGAGUUGCUGGGAAAGGGAUUCAUUCGGCCGAGCAGCUCGCCAUGGGGAGCACCUAUUCUGUUCGUCAAGAAGAAGGAUGGUUCACACCGGAUGUGCAUUGAUUACCGGGAGUUGAACAAGCUAACGGUCAAGAACCGUUACCCGUUGCCGAGGAUCGAUGAUUUAUUCGAUCAGUUGCAGGGAGCAUCUUGGUUUUCCAAGAUCGAUCUGAGGUCAGGAUACCAUCAGGUGAGGGUACGGGAUGAGGACGUCCAGAAGACAGCGUUUAGGACGCGAUAUGGGCAUUAUGAGUUUGUGGUGAUGCCUUUUGGACUCACCAAUGCCCCGGCUGUGUUCAUGGAUCUCAUGAACAGGGUAUGCAGGCCGAUGUUGGAUCGGUCAGUGAUUGUAUUUAUCGACGACAUUCUGGUGUAUUCGAGAUCUAGAGAGCAGCAUGAGGAGCAUUUGAGGGAGGUCCUUGAGGUAUUGAGGUCGGAGAAGCUUUAUGCAAAGUUCUCCAAAUGUGACUUCUGGUUGCGGGAGGUCCAGUUUCUAGGACAUGUGGUUAAUCAGAAAGGGAUAUUGGUCGAUCCGGCCAAGGUUGAGGCGGUGAUGAGUUGGGAGGUGCCGAAGUCACCCUCUGAGAUCAGAAGUUUCCUUGGGUUGGCAGGGUAUUAUCGGAGAUUUAUCAAGGAUUUCUCCAAGAUCGCAGUGCCACUCACCAGAUUGACCCGGAAGGGUGUUACAUUCUCAUGGGGGCCCGAGCAGCAGACCUCCUUUGAGACACUUCGCCAGAGAUUGUGCGAAGCCCCGGUAUUAGCUCUCCCAGAAGGGAUGGAAGAUUUCGUGGUAUAUUGCGACGCAUCGAUUUCGGGAUUGGGUGCAGUGUUGAUGCAGAGGGGUCAUGUGAUAGCUUAUGCGUCGAGGCAGCUGAAGCCUCAUGAGGCGAGAUAUCCCACGCAUGAUUUAGAGUUGGGGGCAGUAGUGUUCGCUCUCAAGAUUUGGCGCCACUACUUGUAUGGGGUUCGAUGUACGAUAUACACGGACCAUAAGAGUUUGAAGUAUUUGAUGGAUCAACCCAACCUAAAUAUGCGUCAGAGGAGGUGGUUGGAUGUGGUCAAGGAUUAUGAUUGUGAGAUCCUGUACCACCCAGGCAAGGCUAAUGUGGUAGCCGAUGCAUUGAGCCGCAGGGCGGAGAGCACUCCAUUGCGAGAUGUAUGCUUGAGACUGACUGUGAUGACUCCAGUAUUGGACGCUAUUCGUGGGGCCCAGGCAGAGGCUGUGCGACCAGAAAUGCAGAAGAAAGAGCGGGUUGUGGGGUUAAUCUCAGAGUUUGUCAAGGAUAGUCGAGGCCUUAUGACGUUUCAGGGUCGGAUUUGGGUACCGUUCGUGGGCGGUACGCGUAUUACGUUGAUGGAAGAGGCUCAUAGAUCGAAAUUCUCGAUCCAUCCCGGUGCUACAAAGAUGUAUUUGGAUUUAAGGAAGGAAUAUUGGUGGCCCUGUAUGAAGAGGGACGUGGCAUGGUUCGUUGAGAGGUGCUUGACCUGCCGUAGGGUUAAGGCUGAGCACCAGAGACCGCAUGGCAAGUUACAGCCAUUGGAGAUCCCCGAGUGGAAGUGGGAACAGAUCACUAUGGAUUUUAUCACCAAAUUGCCGAGGACUGCUAGGGGAGUUGACGCAAUUUGGGUGAUCGUGGAUAGGUUGACAAAGAGUGCACACUUCCUUGCCAUCAGUGAGAGUUCUUCGGCGGAGAAAUUGGCGGAGAUAUACGUGAGAGAGGUGGUAUCUCGGCACGGGGUGCCGAUCUCGAUUGUGUCAGACCGUGAUGUGCGCUUUACUUCCAGAUUCUGGAAGAAAUUCCAUGAGGAGCUGGGUACUAAAUUGCAUUUUAGUACCGCAUACCAUCCCCAGACAGACGGUCAGAGCGAGCGGACAAUUCAGACGCUGGAGGACAUGCUCCGAGCGUGUGUGUUAGACUUCGGGGGUAGUUGGGAUGCGUAUUUACCAUUGGCAGAGUUCUCCUACAACAACAGCCAUCAUUCGAGCAUUGGUAUGCCACCUUUCGAGCUGUUGUAUGGUAGGAGGUGUCGGACCCCCAUUUGCUGGGGAGAGGUGGGACAGAGAGUGAUGGGCAGCACGGAGAUCGUGCUCCAGACGACAGAGCAGAUUCAGCGAGUGAGACAAAGGUUAUUGACUGCCCAGAGCCGACAGAAGAGUUAUGCAGACAGGCGCCGAUCCGAGCUUGAAUUUCAGGUCGGCGACUUCGUUCUCCUGAAGGUCUCUCCUUGGAAAGGAGUGAUUCGAUUCAGGAAGAGGGGCAAGUUGGGGCCCCGGUAUAUUGGGCCAUUUCGUGUGAUUGCAAGGAUAGGUCGGGUAGCCUAUCGGUUGGAGUUGCCAGCGGAGUUGGGUCAGAUCCAUGACACUUUUCAUGUGUCGCAGUUGAGGAAGUGCAUAGCCGAUGAGUCGGCAGUGGUUCCAUUGGAGGAUAUUCAGGUGGAUGCGAGCCUGAAUUACGCGGAGAGACCAGUGGCUAUCAGGGAUCGGAAGAUCAAGGUUCUGAGGAACAAGGAGGUACCUCUGGUGUUGGUUCAAUGGCAACACCGUAAGGGAUCAGAAAUGACUUGGGAACCGGAGCGCGAAAUGCGGGAGCAGCAUCCGGAACUAUUUGCAGAAUGAGACUUCGAGGGCGAAGUCUAAUCCAAGUGGGGGAGAGUUGUAACAGCCCGGAAUCUCAGGUAUUAUUAAAAUUAUGUUUUUGGGGUGAUUUAAGAGGGGACUCGGCGAGUUGGAGCCUAGACUCGCCGAGUAGGAUCGCGGACUUGGUCGCGGGUCCGCGACUGGACUCGACGAGUCCAGAUAUGGACUCGGCGAGUCGACGCUGUUCAGCAGAAACCCUAACCGUUCAGUUUGGAUCGUAUUUAACGCCUCUUAGGCCGUCAUUUUCAGUCUUUUGGUCAAUUGAGAGGAACCCUAAUCGCUGUGGACGCCUAGAGCAAGGGAGAAAGCUUUGGAACUUGGAAGAAUUGGUUAGGCAAGAAGAAGAGGGAUUUGGCUAAAGGAAUAUCAAGGAGGAUUGAGUCCUGAGAUUUGGGGGACACAGAGAGUGCGUUUUCAGGUAAUACUCGGACCAAAUCUGUUAUUUUGAUGUAUUUAUGAAAUUAGGGUUUAUAGAACCCAUUUAGUGAUUUGAUGAAGAAAUGCCUUGUUACCCCACGAUUAUAGUCUUGUAUUAGGACCUUUAGAGGUCCAGAAGGUCCCAUGCAUGUGUACUUCGGGACGAGACCUAUCCCAGGAAGCAGUUACUCGUCUGCAUGGCAUGGACUCGCCGAGUUGUUCUUCAGACUCGGCGAGUAGCUUGAAGAUUUGCUGGGACUCGCCGAGUUGUUCAUCAGACUCGGCGAGUGGAGUCGGGGUGGCCCCGCGAUUCUUCCACGAGGACCUCGUCGAGUCAAGAGGGAUACUCGACGAGUAGAAAGGGAAUAUUCAGGAAUUUGUGAGGACGACUAGACUCGCCGAGUCGCCAUGGUACUCGCCGAGUCCAGUCGAGUUGACCGUUGACCGUUGACCAGAGUUGACCUAAGUCUGACUUCUUAGGGAUAGUCACACUUAGAUGAUAUGAGUGUUAAUGAGUUAUGUAAUGUUAUAGGAGGGUUGUAGCUCGUUGGUUUGUGCGCGAGUGAUUUCAGGAGUUGCUAGCUUUCAGCACUUACGAGGUGAGUCUUCUCACUAUACUGUACCCGGAAGGGUUUGACUGUGUGACCGGAAGGUCGGAUAUGAUAUGUGAUAUGUAUGCUAUAUGUGGUAUGUUAUAUGUUAUAUGUGCUAUGUAUGUUAUGGGCCGGAAGGCGAAUAUGUUAUGGGCCGGAAGGCGAUAUGAUGUGUGAUGGACCGGAAGGUCGGCGUGGGUAAGGCCGGAAGGUUUACCCAGCAGGGACGGAAGUCCCCUGAGACACAUGGACCGGAAGGUCGGGCCUGGAAAGGCGUAUGUGCGUAAGUUGUAUAUUGGGGAACUCACUAAGCAUUUAUGCUUACAGUUGUUGUGCAUGUAUUUCAGGUACUAGCGAGGACCGUGGGAAGGCGCCGGCAUGAUCGAUACACACUGAAGAUUGUUUUAAGAUCUUGGGAGUUUGAAUAAUUGUAUUGACCGAAUAAUUAAACUGUUUAUGUCUUGUUUUUAAUGGAAAUAAUUAUGUUUUAAAAAUGAAAAAUUUGUUUGAAAAAUUUGAGUUGUUACAAUUGGUAUCAGAGCCUUGGUUUGAGGGAUUCGGGUGCACCUUCGGGGGUAACUGAACUCAAACCGAGGAUUUGAGGAAACUUUUCAAAUAAAGGCAUAAACUUUUGUAAAUGGUUUUGUGGUAAGCAAGAAAGAAGCAGUGUGUACGAUCAGUCAGCGCCCGAACGGUAAAGAUCCCCAAAAUACCUUACAAUAUUAUAUGAUAUGAAUUGUUAUGCAUGCUAGAAGACUAGGUAUUCAUGAUAGGACUAGAGUGGCCUGAUUUGUGAUGCCUUAGUCUAGGGAAGUUGCCUAUAUGAGAUGCUUUGCUAGUAUGCGGGUAGAUAGAGCGUAUCAGAAGUAGAGUACUCACUAUCUGGAGUUUGGGGAGGAGGACUUGGGAUGAACAUUGAUGCGGUGUGGUCGGUAGUAUUGGGCCCGUACUACCGAGGACACCGGGUCAGUGGGAGGCCCAAGUAAGAAUCCCUGGAUAUCUGGGACUGAGUAGGGUUGCGUGUCGAGUACGAUUAUACUCGGUAGAAUCUCUGAUAGUUUUAUGUUGUAUUUCAGAGAUAUCAUGGUUAGACCGCGGCACGGGGCAAGUACGAGCGGUGUGAGUGACGAGGAUAUUCGUCAGAUGAUCCACGAGGAGGUGGCGGCGGCGAUCCGGGCUGAGAUCCCGGAGAUGUUUGGGUCUAUCAAGACCACCCUGAUGGAGACGUUCGACGAGCGGUACGCCGCAUUGACUGAGGCUGCAACCGCUGCAGCUACCGCAGCUGUGGCCGCUGCUAGGCCACAGGGGGGUGAUUCAUUGCUGUUCCGAGAGUUCAGCAACACGAAGCCACCAGAGUUCGAUGGGACGCAGGAUCCGAUUGCUGCGAUGAGGUGGAUCGCAGAUAUAGAGGGGUGCUUCUACACUUGUUCAUGCCCGGAGCACCUGAGGGUACGGUUCGCUUUGAACCAGCUCCGUCUGGGAGCAAAGGACUGGUGGAAGUUCGUGACGGCGAACUUCACUUUGGCAGAGACUGCGGCAGUGACAUGGGAGGGGUUCACUACCAUGUUCAGGGAGGAGUACGUUCCCCCGGUGGAGCGGGAACGAUUGGUUCAGGAGUUCUUAACCCUCAAGCAGGGUACUGAUUCGGUGGCGGCGAUCACGCGGAAGUUCCAUGAGAGGGCGAUGUUUUGCCCCGAGCUGGUGGCCACAGAGCAGGCUCGGAUGAGCCGGUACUUGGGUGUUCUGAGGAGGGAGAUCCGGGAGUUUGUGUCAAACUCCACUUACCAUACUUUUACUGAGCUUCAGGCGAAUGCCAGGAAGCGUGAGAUCGAGUUAGAGACUCAGGCCAGGGAGGAGGCCGAGUCUCAGCAGGCAGACCGGCGGCCGGCUCAGUCUCAGCCGGCAGCCAAGCGGAUCAAGUCCGCCGAUUCGAGGACGGGAGGUUCGAAGAACCGCACUUGCGUAAAGUGCGGCAAGGGUCACGAUGGGGCGUGUCGAGCCGGUGCUUGCUACAAGUGUGGCAAGGAGGGACACAUUGCUAGGGAGUGUCCCAAGGGAUUUACGGUUUGCUUUCAUUGCAACCAGACCGGCCAUCGGAAGGCCGAGUGCCCUCAGCUUCGUCAGGGAUCUGCACCUGCUGCCAGGACUACUGAGACUCGACCGGUGAAGGUCGAGGCCCCGAGGGCUCGUGGGAGAGCCUUUCAGCUGACUGCGGAGGAGGUCCGCGCUGCGCCCGAUGUUGUGGCAGGUAUGUUGUAAUUCAUGUAUUUAUUUUAAUGUCGAGAUGUUAUGCUUAUGUUAUUAUAUGCGUAGGUACUUUCCUUGUGAACUCUGUGCCUGCCUUAGUGUUAUUUGACUCGGGUGCUAGUAGGUCCUUUGUGUCCUUAGCCUUUAGUCAGCAUAUCAGCGUUAGUCGUGAGUCGUUGAGUCGACCUUUGAGAGUUUCUAUAGCUGACGAGAAAUCGAUUUAUGCCACGGAGGUUCUUCGAGGAUGUGUGCUAGAGAUUUUCGGGGUUGAAUUCCCGAUUGACCUGAUUCCUAUUGCGAUGGGUGACGUCUGUGUUAUCGUGGGCAUGGACUGGUUGAGCCGAUUCGGCGCUGUCAUCGACUGUGAGCGUCAGUUGGUGACCAUACGAGACCAUAGUGGGGGAGUUCUUUCGGUGUACGGUGAGGGUACCCGUUCAGGAUCAGCUUUUUGUUCGGCCGCUAGGGCGAGGCAGUGUCUACAGCAGGGCUGUAAGGGUUUUGUGGCGUAUGUGAUGGAUACGCGGGAGGUUUCCGAGAGACCGAAAUC